rnacentral:pre_miRNA from 1 species
GUACUGCUCCCUCUGUCCAACAAAAAAUGUCUCAAGUUUGUUAAAAUUUGGAUGUAUCUAGACAUGACUUAGUGUAUAGAUACAUUCAAAUUUAGUCAAAGUUGAGACAUCUUUUGUUGGACAGAGGAAGUACAUU